ACUCCUACGGGAGGCAGCAGUGGGGAAUAUUGGACAAUGGGGGGAACCCUGAUCCAGCCAUGCCGCGUGUGUGAAGAAGGCCUUAUGGUUGUAAAGCACUUUAAGCGAGGAGGAGGCUACUGAGACUAAUACUCUUGGAUAGUGGACGUUACUCGCAGAAUAAGCACCGGCUAACUCUGUGCCAGCAGCCGCGGUAAUACAGAGGGUGCGAGCGUUAAUCGGAUUUACUGGGCGUAAAGCGUGCGUAGGCGGCUUUUAAGUCGGAUGUGAAAUCCCCGAGCUUAACUUGGGAAUUGCAUUCGAUACUGGGAAGCUAGAGUAUGGAGAGGAUGGUAGAAUUCCAGGUGUAGCGGUGAAAUGCGUAGAGAUCUGGAGGAAUACCGAUGGCGAAGGCAGCCAUCUGGCCUAAUACUGACGCUGAGGUACGAAAGCAUGGGAGCAAACAGGAUUAGAUACCCCUGGUAGGAUAGCG
rnacentral:rRNA from 1 species